CUGGGUAGCAGUGAUGACAGCUGGGACCAUGGGCUUGCUUCUUACAGGAAAGGAAAGCUUUCCAUAUUUCAAGUAUUGAGACAAAUGGAGUUUCGCUCUUGUUGCUGGAGUGCAAUGCAGCUCACUGCAACCUCUGCCUCCCAGUUCAAGCGAUUCUGCCUCAGCUUCCUGAGUAGCUGGGAUUACAGGCGUGUGCCACCAUGUGCCACCUUGUGAAGAGGUGCCUUCUGCCAUGAUUAGUCAUGUUCUGUCACUCAGGCUGGAGUGCAAUGGCACAAUCUUGGCUCACUGCAACCUUUGCCUCCCG